rnacentral:tRNA from 1 species
GGGGAUGUAGUUCAGUGGUACAGUGCUUGCUUAGCAUGCAUGAGGCCUUGGUUUAAUCCCUAGCAUUCCCC